CCUUGCUCUGCAUCGACUUUCUCAACCAAUAUGGCGAAGAACGAUGACGAAAGCAGUGGAUGUGGCACCUCAGCUACAUUCAGGCGAACAUAUGAUCUUCGAAUUAGGAUUGCCAGGUCAAGUAGGAAGUCACACAAUGGAAAAAAUGGUAUGUAGAUGGGGGAUUUUUAAAUGGAGGUAAGGGCAAAUUUGUUGACAAUUCUUGAUAUGGCUCCAUCCACUUGAACCUGAUGGAACAACAUGGUUUUAAAAAAUGUUUUAAAAACCAUGAGAUUUAUGAAUUACUUUAAGGAUAAGCAGAGAGGUUGGCUUAUCCUGCUUGUCAAAAUUUCUUUCUGGAUAAAAUGUCUCCUUAGGUUCAGUAACACCACUUUUGAGUAAACAAGCAGCAAUAGACCUGCAAAUAUCAUCGAUUGGAGGCAGUCUGAGCUGUGAUGGGUUAUAAACCGUUCUUGGUGUUUUCCUAAAGUUGUGAUACAAUCUGUCAGUCGUAGAAAAGACGUUUUACGUUUCAGUGUGUCAUAGAACCUCCGUAAGUACCUGUGUAAGGAUUGGGAAGAUGUCACAAUUAAAUCAGAAUAUUUAUAAAACUGGUAAAAAGCACUACCAGGACACAGAAUGUAUAUAGAAUGAGUUUGACAUUACUGUACACUGAAGAAAAUGCAACAUUUGAAUCUGGAAUGGUUUUAUUCUGCCCAUUGUAAUGCAAUAAUACAGAGCAAAUGACCAUCAUUGAGAAAAUGGAUGUACAGUGAAAACCACAGUUACAACACUGGAGUGACACGCAGUUGUCACAGGCUCACAAUUUUCUACCAUUAUGUUUUCCUCUUUAUAUUUAGAUACUAUGUAUUAUCUGAUCCAAGGCUAAAGGCCGAGCAUUACUCUUCAAUUAGUAAAUAAGUCAACUUCAAAAAAAAAAA